rnacentral:rRNA from 1 species
AUACGUAGGGGGCGAGCGUUGUCCGGAAUGAUUGGGCGUAAAGGGCGCGUAGGCGGCCCGGUAAGUCUGGAGUGAAAGUCCCGCAUUCAAUGUGGGAAUUGCUUUGGAUACUGCAGUGCUAGAGUGCGGAAGAGGUAAGUGGAAUUCCCAGUGUAGCGGUGAAAUGCGUAGAGAUUGGGAGGAACACCAGUGGCGAAGGCGACUUACUGGGCCGUAACGGACGCUGGGGCGCGAAAGCGUGGGGAGCAAACAGGAUUAGAUACCCUUGUAGUCCACGCUGUAAACGAUGAAUACUAGGUGUAGGGGGUAUCGACUCCCUCUGUGCCGCAGUUAACACAAUAAGUAUUCCGCCUGGGGAGUACGGCCGCAAGGUUGAGACUCAAAUGAAUUGACGGGG